AUACGGAGGGUGCAAGCGUUAAUCGGAAUUACUGGGCGUAAAGCGCGCGUAGGCGGUUGGGUCAGUCGGAUGUGAAAGCCCCGGGCUUAACCUGGGAACUGCAUUCGAUACUGCCUGGCUAGAGUAUGGUAGAGGAAAGUGGAAUUCCCGGUGUAGCGGUGAAAUGCGUAGAUAUCGGGAAGAACAUCAGUGGCGAAGGCGGCUUUCUGGACCAAUACUGACGCUGAGGUGCGAAAGCGUGGGGAGCAAACGGGAUUAGAUACCCCAGUAGUCC
rnacentral:rRNA from 1 species